AAACGGAAACAGCGGCAAAAAUUGUUCCGCACACACCGCAAGAAACCCAAGAGACAUACAUGGUCAGUGAUGGUUUUAACUCAUUUCUGCAUGGAUCAGUCACUUCAGGAAUGGCCUGCCAGCUAAAAGAGCGGGAGAGAAAUAAUUCUUUCAGUCUUGAGUUAAAACCGCAUUGGCACAAAUACAUGGAAGAAAUGAUUGUCAGCCGGACGGACUUAGCCUGCAGUCCACCUGCAGGACCCUGUUGAUGUCCAGGGUCAUCUGCCUGGUGCCACCUUAGAAACUGUCCUGAUUCUGUACAGGACACUGAAUGAUAACACCCUGCAAGUCAGCUGACUGCUGUGUCAUACUGCAUUCCUGCAGAUGCCAGUCGAGAUGCGGCAGAGGCAGACAGCUAGGCACAGAGGAGCCGAGUUGUAAACUUUGCUUUUCCUGAUGCUGCCUACUGUCGCGCAUACGAAGAACAUUACCUCUGUGUAGCCAGGAGCUGAGAUGCAGUCUGAAUGUGCACGGUGGCUUCUGACGUGGCAGCGUGAAUUCUCAGCUGGGCAGUUCAAAAGACACGUACAGAAGCUCUCAUCUAUACUGUCAUCCAUCUGGUUCCUACAAACACUGUCCUGCACCAUGACUGGAAGAAGAAGCAUUUGGAGGUUUCCCCAAGAAACUAGUUGGUGCUAGGAACAUUAAAUCUUCAUGUCCCCAGGACAAGAAAGUUAAAAGUACUCAUCGUUAGCUACCGAGGUUGACGGGAGGCAAGGCUGUGGAUUCACGUGACCAAAGAUGGCUGGUCUGGCUGGCUGUACUGCUUUCUCCUUUUAUCAAGUACAGAUGUAGCGCCUGCCUGGAAUGGUAGGACCAGUGCCUAAACUCAAGGAAACAACCAGAGACUGGCUCCCAGGGGCACCUGUUCCCACUUAUUGUUGCUGUUGUUGCACACAUAUGUGAUGUUUGUACAUGUAUGUUCUUGUGUUUGUAGGUACACAUUGUAUGCUGGUGUAUGUGGUCACUGAAGAAAUUAAAACAGAAAGACUCAGUA
rnacentral:sRNA from 1 species